CUUACUUGCCGGUAUUGACAUUAGUGGCACCAAUGGAGAGGUGAUGCUAGGCCUGAUCAUGGCUGACCUCCAUCUUGCCAGUUUUUUUAAAAAGGACAAAAGCACAGAACGGUUGCCAUCAACACUGGCUUCUAUCGUGCAAUAAGAGUACCAAGUGGGACCAAGCAUGGGAAUUGAAGCAGAUCAUAUAUGGUGUUCAAGAUACCUUCUCGAGGACUCUCAGAGUGUUUUCCCCAUCUAUUCUGCAAUACAAAAAGCAUGGGAGAAGAGGGAGGCUUUGAAGUGAUAAAGAAGGCAAUUUUGAAUCUCUCACUUCGCCACAAAGAGCACGUUGGCACCUCUUAUGGAGAAGGAAAUGGAAGAAGGUUGACAGGUCAACAUGAAACAGCCAACAUUGACACAUAUUCUGGGUAAUGCUCAGAAGAAGCAUACCAACUGCUACUCAAAUUCAAAGAUUGCCCGUUCAAUUGAAUCUUGGGAUGCCUAAAUUACUUGAAAUCAAUUAUGCAGGUAGUUGCCAAUUGUGGUUGCUCAUUCUGUGUGGGCCGUAACACUAAGAGGCAAGGAAAAGGUUACUUGGAAGAUGGGCGUCCUAUCUCAAACAUGAAACCAUACAUUGUGACCUCGUUACAUGCAGAAACUACAAUUCUAUGAGAGCCCACCCUUGAGGCUGAAGCUCUUGCUGCUCAUAAGCUUGCAUUGAAGAUCCAAAAUUCAAGUUGCUUGUUAAGAAAGGCCAAAUGCAUUAAUCAAAUCAGGGAGGACCCACAGGCUGAGAGACUUAGAACCUCUUUUUCUCCACAUUUAGGUCAUUGAGAGAAGAUCCUCAUGUAAGGGAAGCUUCCCAAAUGGAGAGAAAAUUAGGUGUCCAAGCUCAGACCUAGUCUUCCUCACAUUGGUUUCAUCCUACAUUCGCAAGUCGUCUCAAUGGUUCGGCAUUUGAGUUCAACAGUACCCUUUAGCAUCAUGGACAUCUUCCUAUGUUUGAGUUGUCAGUUUGGAAUAGUAUUUUUGCUUAUCUUCGUAUCUUGAAACUUAGGGAAGUGCUUUAUAAACGUAUGUAUAAAAUGAAGACUUUUUAAUGCAAUUUGUCCAAAUUUUCAGUGUCGUCAUAUGCUAAACUCAUUCAAUUUGGCAUGUUCAACUUUCUUUCGAAUGAAAGGCAAUUUGACUUCUACUUCAGUAAA